GAUGAACGCUAGCGGCAGGCUUAACACAUGCAAGUCGAGGGGCAGCAUGAGACGGAGAUUCGUCAAAGUCUUGAUGGCGACCGGCGCAAGGGUGCGUAACGCGUGAGCAACUUGCCCGUUUCUGGGGGAUAACCGGUGGAAACGCCGACUAAUACCCCAUAGUAUCAAAAUAAGGCAUCUUUUAUUGAUUAAAGAAUUUCGGAAACGGAUAGGCUCGCGUGACAUUAGCUAGAUGGCGGGGUAACGGCCCACCAUGGCGACGAUGUCUAGGGGUUCUGAGAGGAAGGUCCCCCACACUGGAACUGAGACACGGUCCAGACUCCUACGGGAGGCAGCAGUGAGGAAUAUUGGUCAAUGGUCUGACGACUGAACCAGCCAUGCCGCGUGAAGGUCACGGCCCUAUGGGUCUUAAACUUCUUUUGUAAGGGAGCAAUAAGUCUCACGUGUGGGAUGAUGAGAGUACCUUACGAAUAAGCAUCGGCUAACUCCGUGCCAG
rnacentral:rRNA from 1 species